UAGCAGUGGUAGUUUACGACUGCAAAUUUGUAGACCGCAGAGACCCGCUAAAACUUCAUGGCGGAAAUUCGAUGUCUGAUGCUUACGAGACGCAGAGCCAAAGCACAAGUGAAAGGAUACGUGUUUUAAAGUUUCUUCUUCUUGACAUUUAUAUAUGUGUGUGGGCAAAGGAACGUCAACUUACGAGUGCACUUGUCUCAACAAAUAUCAACAAUGCGCUUAAAUUUACAAAGAAAAGCCACUUGUAAUGGAGUGAUGCAAGUAACAUGAAAGUUCAGGCAUACAAGGCAGUGGCACAUUUAGAUUGCCGGAAGAUUGGGCAGACUCGCCACUUCCACCUCAGAUAAAUAUGAAGAACACUGAAGACGAGAUUCUUAAAAAUGAUUAAAUUCCACAGUUUGGAGAGGUUCUGCCACUCAGCAUCGUUAAAUGCAGCGGUAUUCAUUGUGCCAUUUACAUCACAUGGUUUUGCUGAGAUGCCCGCAGAGCGGUCCUUUAGCAAGCUUAUCGAUGGAUUGGGACUGAAUAUCAAGUGAUGACAGUUACAAGCACAACAAUCAGUGCCUUGCAGUGAUAACACGGAAGAGCAUAUUUUUCUGGAGUUCUGGUCUUCCAAGAGGUAGAGUCCUUCUUCCUCCCUCUUGUGCUUUUGUUGUACCUUUGAGGCAUUGCAUUAGAUAUGACAACAAAAUCUUAGUCAUUAUAAGUGUCUAUUUUUGUAUAAUAAUAGAGGGGAACCUCAGCUAGCGAACAUUUCGGAUAACGAACAAAAAUUUUGUUAGAAAUUUGCACCAGAUAACAAACAAAACUUCGGAUAACGAACAGCCAUGUCACCCACACGUGACCGACCAGCAUGUUAGACCAAGCACCAUUCGCACUCGAGACACAGUUAUGAUCAGUCGUUCGUUAUCUUUUUUGUGUAGAUUUUUUUUUUUUAAUUUAAGAAAUGUGUGCAAAGUGGGGGGAAAUUGCAAUUUGUAGAAAAGUUUUUCCCUAACAGUGCAAUAGACAGUAGGAACCUAAAUAUGUUCAAUGAUAAUGUGAUGUAUUACCAAAAAGCAUUGCAAAAAAGGCAGAAGCAAUAGACUUUGGACAAGUUUUUUCCUUCAACCCCAAUGUGGCAGAAAAGGGAAGUUACCCCCGAUUUUGCAAUGUCACAUGUGCUCAUGGAGGGGAUUCCCCCUCCAGGCAGUAAUUCCACCCCUUCAUCCACCCAUGCGUCAAAACGGCAAGUUUUCUUAUGUUUUAAUGCUUUCGUUAAUGUUUUUAUGUUUAUUUAACU